AGCAGCCGCGGUAAUUCCAGCUCCAAUAGCGUAUAUUAAAGUUGUUGCAGUUAAAAAGCUCGUAGUUGAAUUUCGGGGUUAGCAGGUUGGUCGUGCCACUGGUACGUACUGGUCUCACUGACUCCUCCUUCCUGAUGAACUGUAAUGCCAUUAAUUUGGUGUUGCAGGGAAACUGGACUGUUACUUUGAAAAAAUUAGAGUGUUUAAAGCAAGCUAACGCUUGAAUACAUUAGCAUGGAAUAAUGAAAUAGGACGUUCGAUCCUAUUUUGUUGGUUUCUAGGAUUGACGUAAUGAUUAAUGGGGAUAGUUGGGGGCAUUAGUAUUCAAUUGUCAGAGGUGAAAUUCUUGGAUUUAUUGAAGACUAACUACUGCGAAAGCAUUUGCCAAGGAUGUUUUCAUUAAUCAAGAACGAAAGUUAGGGGAUCGAAGGCGAUCAGAUACCGUCGUAGUCUUAACCAUAAACUAUGCCGACUAGGGAUCGGAUGAUGUUAAUUUUUAAUGACUCAUUCGG
rnacentral:rRNA from 1 species